UGCUUGAGACCGAUACCGAGCAAAUGCAGCCUCGGUAUCGUUCUCAAACGAUACGGUUGCAUUCUUAAACCCUCUUGGUAGCUUCGUUCUAAAGGCUUCCAAGAUAUGAGUGAAUGCUAUAGAGAUUGCAUGGGAGUCCAAAGGGCUUUGCUUCUCCUGUGGCUCAGUCUUAUUUCAUACCUGCGACAUCUUUUAAGAGAAAUUUUCAAGAGGGGAAUCGUGUCACCAAAACCUUUGUGAUCUUUGAAUUUUGGAGGUUGAAGGUGGGGGGAGAGGCUUGCUUUGCUUAUGAUAAUUACUCAAGAGACCCAGCUGCUGGAACUGUCUCCAUCUUGUAAACUGCUCAUCCAGGUGCCUGAGAGGGAAGGAAAAUGCUCCUGCCCAGAAAUGUCCUAUUGUCCAUAGUUCAUUGACCAGAACUAUUUUUAUGACCCUGACAAAUCACAAGAAGAGAGCUUCAGUCAGG